rnacentral:rRNA from 1 species
CAACGGUGAAACUCAAAGGAAUUGACGGGGGCCCGCACAAGCGGAGGAACAUGUGGUUUAAUUCGAUGAUACGCGAGGAACCUUACCCGGGCUUAAAUUGCAGAUGAAUUACGGUGAAAGCCGUAAGCCGCAAGGCAUCUGUGAAGGUGCUGCAUGGUCGUCGUCAGCUCGUGCCGUGAGGUGUCGGCUUAAGUGCCAUAACGAGCGCAACCCUUGUUGUCAGUUACUAACAGGUUCUGCUGAGGACUCUGACAAGACUGCCAUCGUAAGAUGUGAGGAAGGUGGGGAUGACGUCAAAUCAGCACGGCCCUUACGUCCGGGGCUACACACGUGUUACAAUGGGGGGUACAGAGGGCCGCUACCACGCGAGUGGAUGCCAAUCCCAAAAACCUCUCUCAGUUCGGACUGGAGUCUGCAACCCGACUCCACGAAGCUGGGUUCGCUAGUAAUCGCGCAUCAGCCACGGCGCGGUGAAUACGUUCCCGGGCCUUGUACACACCGCCCGUCAAGCCAUGGGAG